AUUGAACGCUGGCGGCAUGCCUUACACAUGCAAGUCGAACGGCAGCGGACCUUCGGGUGCCGGCGAGUGGCGAACGGGUGAGUAAUAUAUCGGAACGUACCUUUCAGUGGGGGAUAACGUAGCGAAAGUUACGCUAAUACCGCAUAUUCUGUGAGCAGGAAAGCAGGGGAUCGCAAGACCUUGCGCUGAUUGAGCGGCCGAUAUCAGAUUAGCUAGUUGGUGAGGUAAAGGCUCACCAAGGCGACGAUCUGUAGCGGGUCUGAGAGGAUGAUCCGCCACACUGGAACUGAGACACGGUCCAGACUCCUACGGGAGGCAGCAGUGGGGAAUUUGGACAAUGGGCGCAAGCCUGAUCCAGCCAUGCCGCGUGAGUGAAGAAGGCCUCGGUUGUAAGCUCUUCGUCCGGAGGAAUACGCACAGGUAAUACCCUGUGUGGAUGACGGUACCGGAAUAAGAAGACACGGCUAACUACGUGCCAG
rnacentral:rRNA from 1 species